ACUUUUAGUAUCAUAGUAAGCUGCAGAGCUUGUUACAUGUAGAUCUUGGGCUCACUCAAGAUCUCCUAAAUCUCUGAGGCUGGAGUCCAGGAAUCUGAAUUUUUAUCAAGCAUCCAGGUAAUUCU
rnacentral:pre_miRNA from 1 species